rnacentral:rRNA from 1 species
UACAGAGGUCUCAAGCGUUGUUCGGAUUCAUUGGGCGUAAAGGGUGUGUAGGUGGCGCGCUAAGUCGGGUGUGAAAUUUCGGAGCUUAACUCCGAAACUGCAUUCGAUACUGCCGUGCUUGAGGACUGGAGAGGAGACUGGAAUUUACGGUGUAGCGGUGAAAUGCGUAGAUAUCGUAAGGAAGACCAGUGGCGAAGGCGGCAUCCUGGACCACGACUGACGCUGAGUGAGCGAAAGCCAGGGGAGCAAACGGG